UCCAUCACACCAGUCGCCCUUACUCCUUUUCUCUCAUCUCUCUCGUCCUCUCACACCUCUAUAAGCCUCUGAAAAUAUAGCACUAAUUUGUGCAAGGUCACUCUUACACUAUUGUGAGACCUCAUUCAUCACUCAAUGGCCUAGAAUUUUGCCAAAACAAUUCCUCUUUCUAUCAUCUCCCUUCAUAUCCCAAAUUCUGAAACCCUGGCCCCAAAAAUGGAAGUCUAGAAUCUUAUCAUCACAUCCCCUAAUGAAAUUAUCAGGCCUUCUUUACCAUAUUCCCUCAUUUGAAUCCUCCAUUAAAGCCUUGAAUGCACCUCCAAUUAGAAUCAUAUUCGUAGGAAUCUCCAACCUCAGCAUGACCUCUGAGGAUCUAGAGGUCAAAUACAAGAACCUCUAGUGGAGCUAACAUCAUCACAAGGGUCCUUCCCUGGUACAAGCACUGCUCGAGACCCUAGACCCUUCAGACCAUGUGAACUCUAAAGUGCCAGGAGGGUCAAAUGAAAUCCUUCUGAGAGGGGUAUGGACCACUCUAGUCAAUGGCUAUGGACUUUAAUUAAUCUUUCGAGGAUUAUCAUAAAUAAAAUUUGACUGCCUUUAUUUGUUACAACUAUGUUUAUUUCUUAUAUUUUUGCCUUUACCUUUAUGUGCAAAUGCUAAUUAAAUUUCCCUUCUUCUUUUGCAUGAGUACGUUGAGCUAGUAAAGUUCACUGUGAACUCUUUCCCAAGUUCAACAAAACUAGGCCGCCAUUCUCCUCGUUGCAUUGCUAUCGCUGAAGCCUGUUGCUGAUUGAUUUAAAUAGGCCUGAUGCUUGUCGGUCCAUUAUAAGAGUCUAGUUCCUCCCCUCCCUUUACUUUAUAUCAUGCCGAUGUUAGCCCAUUUAUGUAUAUAUUAUAUUAUGAAACUAACACUGCUAUUAUAUGUUCUUAUCUUUA